rnacentral:rRNA from 1 species
GAACGGGUGAGUAACACGUGAGUAACCUGCCCCCGACUCUGGGAUAAGCCCGGGAAACUGGGUCUAAUACCGGAUACGACCACUUCUCGCAUGGGAUGGUGGUGGAAAGUUUUUUCGGUUGGGGAUGGACUCGCGGCCUAUCAGCUUGUUGGUGGGGUAACGGCCUACCAAGGCGACGACGGGUAGCCGGCCUGAGAGGGCGACCGGCCACACUGGGACUGAGACACGGCCCAGACUCCUACGGGAGGCAGCAGUGGGGAAUAUUGCGCAAUGGGCGAAAGCCUGACGCAGCGACGCCGCGUGGGGGAUGACGGCCUUCGGGUUGUAAACCUCUUUCAGCAGGGACGAAGUUGACGUGUACCUGCAGAAGAAGCGCCGGCUAACUACGUGCCAGCAGCCGCGGUAAUACGUAGGGCGCAAGCGUUGUCCGGAAUUAUUGGGCGUAAAGAGCUCGUAGGUGGCUUGUCACGUCGGGUGUGAAAGCUUGGGGCUUAACUCCAGGUCUGCAUUCGAUACGGGCUGGCUAGAGGUAGGUAGGGGAGAACGGAAUUCCUGGUGUAGCGGUGAAAUGCGCAGAUAUCAGGAGGAACACCGGUGGCGAAGGCGGUUCUCUGGGCCUUACCUGACGCUGAGGAGCGAAA